rnacentral:rRNA from 1 species
GACGAACGCUGGCGGCGUGCUUAACACAUGCAAGUCGAACGGAAAGGCCCUGCUUUUGUGGGGUGCUCGAGUGGCGCACGGGUGAGUAACACGUGAGUAACCUGCCCUUGACUUUGGGAUAACUUCAGGAAACUGGGGCUAAUACCGGAUAGGAGCUCCUGCUGCAUGGUGGGGGUUGGAAAGUUUCGGCGGUUGGGGAUGGACUCGCGGCUUAUCAGCUUGUUGGUGGGGUAGUGGCUUACCAAGGCUUUGACGGGUAGCCGGCCUGAGAGGUUGACCGGCCACAUUGGGACUGAGAUACGGACCAGACUCCUACGGGAGGCAGCAGUGGGGAAUAUUGCACAAUGGGCGGAAGCCUGAUGCAGAAACGCCGGGUGCGGGAUGACGGCCUUCGGGUUGUAAACCGCUUUCGCCUGUGACGAAGCGUGAGUGACGGUAAUGGGUAAAGAAGCACCGGCUAACUACGUG